CCCCGCCGCGCCCCCGGGGCCCCGGGGCCCGCCGCGGCAGCGCCAGCGGCAGCUCCCCCGUCCCGCCGGCGGCGGCAACAUGGCCUCGGCCGGUAACGCGUCGGAGCCGGAGAUCAGCAGCAGCGCGGGCGGCGGCGGCCACCCGGGCCGGGCGGCGAGGAGCGGCGGCGGGUGGCGGCGAAGGACCGGAGGGAAUCGGCGAGCCGCGGCACCCGACCGGGAGUAUCUGCAGCGGCCGAGCUACUGCGAUGCGGCUUUCGCCUUGGAGCAGAUCUCAAAGGGGAAGGCGACGGGACGGAAAGCGCCGCUGUGGCUGCGAGCAAAGUUUCAGAGACUGUUAUUUAAACUGGGCUGUUACAUUCAGAAAAACUGCGGGAAGUUCUUGGUUGUCGGCCUCCUGAUUUUUGGGGCUUUCGCUGUAGGAUUAAGGGCAGCUAAUCUCGAGACCAACGUGGAGGAGCUGUGGGUGGAAGUUGGUGGACGGGUGAGUCGGGAGUUAAAUUACACACGGCAGAAGAUUGGAGAAGAGGCCAUGUUUAACCCUCAGCUCAUGAUCCAGACUCCACAGGAAGAUGGUGCUAAUGUACUAACAACAGAAGCACUCCGACAGCACCUUGAUUCUGCACUUCAGGCCAGCAGAGUACAUGUCUAUAUGUACAACAGACAGUGGAAAUUGGAACAUUUGUGUUACAAAUCAGGAGAACUCAUCACAGAAGCAGGUUACAUGGAUCAGAUCAUAGAAUAUCUUUAUCCUUGCUUAAUUAUCACUCCUUUGGACUGCUUCUGGGAGGGAGCAAAGCUACAGUCAGGAACUGCCUAUCUUUUAGGGAAGCCUCCUUUACAGUGGAUCAACUUUGACCCCUUAGAAUUCUUGGAAGAGUUAAAGAAAAUAAACUACCAAGUGGAGAGCUGGGAAGAAAUGCUGAAUAAAGCAGAGGUUGGUCAUGGUUAUAUGGAUCGACCCUGCUUGAAUCCUGCUGAUCCCGAUUGCCCAAUUACAGCUCCCAAUAAAAAUUCCACUAAACCUCUUGAUGUAGCCCCUGUUUUGAGUGGUGGAUGCUAUGGACUGUCGAGAAAAUACAUGCAUUGGCAAGAGGAGUUAAUUAUAGGUGGUACAGUCAAGAACAGUUCUGGUAAACUUGUCAGUGCCCAGGCUUUGCAAACCAUGUUUCAGUUAAUGACUCCUAAGCAAAUGUAUGAGCACUUCAAGGGGUAUGAAUAUGUUUCACAUAUCAACUGGAAUGAGGAUAAGGCAGCAGCAAUUCUGGAAGCCUGGCAGAGGAUGUAUGUUGAGGUUGUUCAUCAAAGUGUUGCACAAAACUCUACUCAGAAGGUGCUCUCCUUUACUACGACCACCCUGGAUGACAUCCUAAAGUCAUUUUCUGAUGUCAGUGUUAUCAGAGUAGCUAGUGGCUACUUACUAAUGCUUGCCUACGCCUGUUUAACAAUGCUGCGGUGGGACUGUGCCAAGUCUCAGGGUGCCGUGGGGCUGGCAGGAGUCUUGUUGGUUGCACUCUCAGUGGCUGCAGGAUUGGGCCUGUGCUCAUUGAUUGGAAUUUCCUUUAAUGCUGCCACAACUCAGGUUUUGCCUUUUCUUGCUCUUGGAGUUGGUGUAGACGAUGUUUUCCUUCUGGCACAUGCAUUUAGUGAAACAGGGCAGAAUAAGAGAAUUCCAUUUGAGGACAGAACAGGUGAAUGUUUGAAGCGAACAGGAGCAAGUGUAGCCCUUACAUCUAUCAGCAAUGUUACUGCUUUCUUUAUGGCUGCCUUAAUCCCUAUUCCUGCUUUACGAGCAUUUUCACUCCAAGCAGCAGUUGUGGUGGUAUUCAACUUUGCUAUGGUGCUGCUGAUUUUCCCUGCUAUCCUGAGCAUGGACCUUUAUCGUCGGGAAGACAGGAGACUGGAUAUAUUCUGCUGUUUUACAAGUCCAUGUGUUACUAGAGUGAUUCAGAUUGAGCCUCAAGCAUAUGUGGAAAAUGACAAUACCUGCUACAGCCCUCCACCCCCAUACAGCAGUCACAGUUUUGCACAUGAAACUCAAAUUACAAUGCAGUCCACAGUGCAGUUACGCACAGAAUACGAUCCUCAUACGCAGGUGUACUACACCACAGCAGAGCCUCGUUCAGAAAUAUCUGUGCAGCCAGUAACAGUGACGCAAGAUAAUUUCAGCUGCCAGAGCCCAGAAAGCACAAGCUCGACGAGGGAUUUGCUUUCCCAAUUCUCAGACUCCAGCAUACAUUGCCUUGAGCCACCCUGUACGAAGUGGACACUCUCAUCUUUUGCAGAAAAACAUUAUGCUCCGUUCCUCCUAAAACCAAAAGCUAAGAUUGUGGUUAUUUUUCUUUUUGUGGGUUUGCUUGGGCUCAGCCUUUAUGGAACUACCCGGGUGAGAGAUGGACUAGAUCUCACAGACAUUGUACCACGGGAAACACGGGAAUAUGACUUUAUUGCCGCACAAUUCAAGUACUUUUCAUUCUACAACAUGUAUAUUGUGACACAAAAAGCAGACUAUCCAAAUGUCCAGCACUUACUGUAUGAACUUCACAGAAGUUUCAGCAAUGUGACAUAUGUUUUGUUGGAAGAAGAUAGGCAGCUUCCCAAAAUGUGGUUGCACUACUUUCGAGACUGGCUGCAAGGACUGCAGGAUGCAUUUGACAGCGAUUGGGAAAGUGGGAAGAUCACUUACAACAAUUACAAAAAUGGAUCUGAUGAUGCUGUUUUGGCUUACAAACUCCUGGUACAAACAGGCAACAGAGCAAAGCCCAUUGACAUCAGCCAGUUGACUAAACAGCGUCUGGUGGAUGCAGAUGGAAUCAUUAACCCAAAUGCUUUCUACAUCUACCUGACAGCCUGGGUUAGCAAUGACCCUGUGGCUUAUGCUGCCUCGCAAGCCAACAUCCGGCCUCACCGCCCAGAGUGGGUCCAUGACAAAGCAGACUAUAUGCCAGAAACAAGACUGAGAAUUCCAGCAGCUGAGCCCAUAGAAUAUGCUCAGUUUCCUUUCUACCUCAACGGAUUGCGUGAAACUUCUGACUUUGUGGAGGCUAUUGAGAAAGUGAGAGCUAUCUGUAAUAACUACACCAGCCUGGGGAUCACCAGCUACCCAAAUGGUUACCCGUUUCUGUUUUGGGAGCAGUACAUUGGGCUUCGUCACUGGCUGCUCUUAUCAAUUAGUGUGGUUUUGGCUUGCACAUUUCUGGUGUGUGCCCUCUUCCUCCUAAACCCCUGGACAGCUGGGAUCAUUGUGGUGGUGCUGGCUCUUAUGACUGUGGAGCUUUUCGGCAUGAUGGGUCUAAUUGGAAUAAAGCUGAGUGCAGUUCCUGUGGUUAUCCUGAUUGCUUCUGUUGGCAUUGGUGUGGAAUUCACUGUUCACGUUGCAUUGGCAUUUUUAACUGCCAUAGGAGACAGGAACCGCAGGGCUGUCCUUGCAUUGGAACACAUGUUCGCACCAGUGCUGGAUGGGGCUGUGUCCACUCUGCUUGGAGUGUUAAUGCUCGCAGGAUCAGAGUUUGAUUUUAUUGUCAGGUAUUUCUUUGCUGUUUUGGCAAUCUUAACCAUUCUGGGAGUUCUUAAUGGAUUGGUGCUGCUUCCUGUUCUUCUUUCGUUCUUUGGACCAUACCCUGAGGUUUCUCCAACCAAUGGACAAACCAGGUUGCCUACACCAUCUCCUGAGCCAGCCCCCAGCAUCGUGAGGUUUGCACUGCCACCCGCGCACACACACAAUGGGUCAGAUUCCUCUGAUUCAGAGUACAGCUCUCAAACCACAGUGUCUGGCAUCAGUGAAGAGCUUCAUCAGUAUGAGGCCAUGCAAGGCCCUGGGGCACCAGUCCAUCAAGUAAUAGUGGAAGCCACUGAGAAUCCUGUCUUUGCAAGAUCCAGUAUGGUUCAGCCAGAGGCACAGCAUCAGUUGAGCCCCAGAUCGCAGUCGAAUCCAGAGCCUGGCACACAGCAGACAUGGCGUCAGGGCAAACAAGCCAAACGGGAACCAAAGGAAGGGCAGCGACCACCUCCUCACCGCCCUCGCAGGGACGCAUUUGAAAUCUCUACUGAAGGGCAUUCAGGACCCAGCAACAGGGAUCGCUUGGGCCACAAGACUCGUUCUCAUAACGUAAGAAGUCCAGCGUUCAGCACCCUGGGUGCCGCAGGACCAGCAUACUGCCAGCCUAUCACUACUGUGACUGCCUCAGCUUCAGUGACUGUUGCUGUCCACCCUGCGGUGCACAGCCACAGCUCUCGGGGAGGGAGCUUUCCGUCCUACGAGGGGUACCAUGAAGCUGAUCAUGGGCCAUUUCAGGACCCCCAUGUGCCUUUUAAUGUGCGGUGUGAAAGAAGAAAUUCUAAAGUAGAAGUUAUAGAACUGCAAGAUGUUGAAUGUGAGGAAAGGACACCCAGCAACAGCUCACAGUAAGGUAUCUGGAGCUGGGAACUCAGAAAUUAAAGCAUCUGCAUUUUUUUUUAAUUAGCCCGAGUAUUUCUUUACUGGGAAAUUCAUGACUGAUAUGAAAGCAGAGCCCAUGUUUCCUGACCGCUAACUGUAAUAACUGAAGCAAAGAAGAGGCCAAAGAUAGAAAACUCUAUUUCCAGAACUGCUUGAAUUGAAGAACUGCUUGAAGUUGUAGAAAAGGACAUGCUGCAUCAGGACAACAGUUCACUGUUACUGUAACCUAUUGUAUUAUUUUGUUAAAUAUUUCUUUAAGUAUUUAAAAGAUGUACACAUAUGUAAUAUACAAAAGAACAAUGUAAAGUAGUAUAGUCUGGAGUCAUUUGCCUCUGGGCAAUAGAAUGGGGACAAUAUUGUGCGCGCUUUGUACUUUUUGUACAUUGAUCUCUGUGCCACAACUAAGCUUAAUCUAGUUCUAAAUUCCAGCAUAAGUUGCUGCUGCUUAAAUAUUUUAUACUUUACGUGUAUAACUCUAUGCAAAUAUUGCUUAUGUGAUAGGUUUUUUUUUAAGGUACAUGUCUCUUUAAAGUAUUUUAAGUUUGUGUAUCACAACCCUGUGGUAGGAUGAGGUGUUACUGCUAACUUUCAAACACGCUAUGCGUGAUAAUUGUUAAAAUAAGCAGAUACGAAGAAAAGCAAGUUAAUCUGGGAGGCUUAAAUAGAUUUAGCUAUGUGCAGGUUCUGUUUUGCUGUGUGUAUCCAUGUGUGCAUCUGGAAGCUUGCAUGCUUUUGUGUGUAUGUUCCUGGUGUACUGUAGUUUCUCUUUUACUGUAUGGCAACACUUAGUGGGCUUAUCAACCCACUGAUGCUGACAUAAGUAUGGCUUUCCCUGUUAGCAGGCACUAGUGAAAACCGUGUUGAUGUUCAUGAACAUGCACCAUAGACUGCCAUCAUGAAAGGCCCAACUUAAAUAGAAAAGAAGACAGGGAGUCAAGGUUGGGGUUGUGGUUCAGUUUCCCACACUCUUAAUGACUUGGUUCACAUGGCUUUGGUCAAGUCACUUAACUGCCCUGUGCCUCAGUUUCUCAUUCUGUAAAAUGGGUGUAAUUACACUUACCUACCUCCCAGGAAUGUUGUGAGGCUUAGUUACUGUUCCUGUAGUGCUUUGAUUUUGAUUCUUUUCCUUUAAUUUUUCUUUGCAAAAGGUGCCAGGUAAGUGCAAACACUAUAACCAUCCUUGUUCCACUUCCAAAGGUGCUGGAUAUUGAGAAAUGCUGGUUAUAGAAUUUCAGUGAGCAUAUGCCUUAUUUUGAUAUCGAUACUAUUAACUAUGCGUGGCAUUAAAAGUUGGAUAAUUGAGUUGUUUGGUGGUGAGAAACAGCUCAGCUGUGUCCUUCCAGCAUUGGAAGCAGUACCAUUGGUCACCUUACUUUCAUGGCAGGAAGGAAGUUAAUAGUAAGUGAUAAAAAGUAAAUGGAAGGAUAAAAAAAAAAAAUAAUCUAGUUUUACUUUAUAAAUAUAAAUGGCUUUCUGGAUGAGCCCAGGACUGUAAUGACACGAAAGGCCUGGGAUGUUCUUUUCUCUAUAGUUUGUGUUUUCCCAUGCUGCAGUGGCACUUUUAAUUAAAACAGCUAAACUGGGAUCUCUUUGCGAAACUAAUUUAGCUUUCUGCAUUAUUAUUUUUUUUAAACUAAAAGGGGAUAGCUGCAGGUGAAGGGUCUGUAAAAAACACCACACUCUGUGUUCCAGCUGGAAACCUUACGAAUGGAGAACCUUAAUUUAAAAACUAAUAGAAGUUUUCAUUAUCUCUGACUUCCUCUGUCUUCAUCUUUUUUCUGCCCUUCUCCAAGCUGUUUUUAGAGCAGGUAGAUGUUCAGUUACGUAUUCAGAGCCAAACAAAUACAACCAAUAUUCUGUUCCUAACCACAGCAGUGGUGGGGUUUUUGAGUACAAUGCCUGAACAGCGGUGGCCAAUUCUUUGGUAGGAAAUUUUUCUCCAGUGGCUUCAGGGAGUCUAUCUUUGCCCACAGACCUUGCUAGCAUAACGAAUGGGGAUAAUUAGAAUGCACAAAUUUCCAUGCCUUUUUUUUGCUCACUUGAAAACACUUUGAUAUGAGGCACUUGUUUACAGAUCUCCAAUGUGAACGGUCGAAGAGCAGGUGGCGAGAGCCUGGUGUCAUUCCUGUGAUACAUAAGCUACUGUUUCAAUGCACACUAAGGGUUAAUGUCGCAACUGCCUACUGGUCCAGUUCACUGUCUAACCUGGAAAUUCUAAAUGACAAAAAGACUAGGGGCCCCCAUUUAGCACUAGCAGCAUAGUGACCUCAGAUCGCACACACUCUGCCACAAAACUGUAUGAUGCUAAUUGGAAGAUGCCUUUAACCGCCAAGCGCCUGCAGGGCUCCCACUGACACCUCCACCACACCGGGGCUGCCUCACUUCCUCCUCUUCCUCAGGAGGGAAGGGGGGCAGGGUGAACCGUGGUGUCUCCUGCCUGCCCCUGCCCAAGUCCUCCUGUGGGCUGGUGUGUGGGUGAGCUGUCUGCUGCUUCUCCAUAGUCACAUUGGGAAGGGGAGAACUCAGUGGCUGGCAGCGUUUGUUUUAUUUUGUAACUUUUUUUAAUCAUGGGUGAUAUUUAUAUUUUUGUAUCAUAAGAAUGUUUUCUUACAGUAUUUGUCAUGCCAGUUUAUAACAAACAAGAUGCAGGGAUUUUAUUUCUAUUGGAAAACACUAUUACAGUUAUGUUGUUACUGUUCAGUGGAUUUUUAUUUGUAUAGAGUGCUUACUAAUGUUAAAUAGGAAAGAGUAUAUAACAUUUACAUUAAAGACUCGUCGUAGCUUUUUGUGUAAGGAGUUAAAAGGAAAAAAUAUCCGAACUGGGUCUCAUUGCCUGCCUGUUGGUAGGAGUGGGUUUGUGUCAUUUCAGUUACAAAGAUAAAAUUAUGCCAUAUAAUUUAUUUAUAUGAAAAUUUAUUUUUGUAGUGUACAUAGUAGUCAUCAAGUCUUUGGACAGAAGUAUAUUUUUAAAGAGUUUAUAUGUAAUGAUGAUACCAUUAUGUUUUGGAACACUGCUGAGAUACAAUUAUGGUGCACACUUUUCCUUGUAACCCCCCUGGCAGAAAAAAAAAAGUGUUUAACAGUGUUAUGAGAGAGAGUGUGAAUAAUCAUACAAUUCUGAACUGUGUUUUAGUUACCGUUUGUGAUCUAGCGUGGUUCUCAUUUUAAACUUUGAAUGGAAAUUGUACAAACUCUCUAAAUAUUAAUGUUCAAACACUGAUAGAAAUUCUAACAUGAAUAAAAAAAUAUUAUAAGUUA